CCUACCGAUGCGUCCGAUCUUCAUCCCAGAUCGAGCCAAAGCUCUGAGAGCCGACUGAGCUCCAGGACCAGGAGUCUUCGUCCUGCAACAAACAGAGAGUCAGUUACCUGGACAGGUAAACGCUCUGCUAGCCUCGUCUGGACAGGUAAACGCCCUGCUAGCCUCACCUGGACAGGUAAACGCUCUGCUAGCCUCACCUGGACAGGUAAACGCCCUGCUAGCCUCACCUGGGCAGGUAAACGCUCUGCUAGCCUCACCUGGACAGGUAAACGCUCUGCUAGCCUCGUCUGGACAGGUAAACGCCCUGCUAGCCUCACCUGGGCAGGUAAACGCUCUGCUAGCCUCACCUGGACAGGUAAACGCCCUGCUAGCCUCACCUGGGCAGGUAAACGCCCUGCUAGCCUCACCUGGGCAGGUAAACGCCCUGCUAGCCUCACCUGGGCAGGUAAACGCCCU